GAGUUUGAUCUUGGCUCAGAUUGAACGCUGGCGGCAGGCCUAACACAUGCAAGUCGAGCGGAUGACGGGAGCUUGCUCCUUGAUUCAGCGGCGGACGGGUGAGUAAUGCCUGGGAAUCUGCCUGGUAGUGGGGGGACAACGUUUCGAAAGGAACGCUAAUACCGCAUACGUCCUACGGGAGAAAGCAGGGGACCUUCGGGCCUUGCGCUAUCAGAUGAGCCUAGGUCGGAUUAGCUAGUUGGUGGGGUAAUGGCUCACCAAGGCGACGAUCCGUAACUGGUCUGAGAGGAUGAUCAGUCACACUGGAACUGAGACACGGUCCAGACUCCUACGGGAGGCAGCAGUGGGGAAUAUUGGACAAUGGGCGAAAGCCUGAUCCAGCCAUGCCGCGUGUGUGAAGAAGGUCUUCGGAUUGUAAAGCACUUUAAGUUGGGAGGAAGGGCAGUAAGUUAAUACCUUGCUGUUUUGACGUUACCGACAGAAUAAGCACC
rnacentral:rRNA from 1 species